rnacentral:rRNA from 1 species
UGGCGACCGGCGCACGGGUGAGCAACACGUAUCCAACCUGCCGAUGACUCGGGGAUAGCCUUUCGAAAGAAAGAUUAAUACCCGAUGGCAUAGUUCUUCCGCAUGGUGGAACUAUUAAAGAAUUUCGGUCAUCGAUGGGGAUGCGUUCCAUUAGGUUGUUGGCGGGGUAACGGCCCACCAAGCCUUCGAUGGAUAGGGGUUCUGAGAGGAAGGUCCCCCACAUUGGAACUGAGACACGGUCCAA